rnacentral:rRNA from 1 species
GAUCAAGCUACAAAGAGCAUACGGAGGAUGCCUAGGUACAUGGCGCCGAAGAAGGACGUGACAAGCUGCGAAAAGCUGCGGGGAGCUGCAAAUGAG